rnacentral:rRNA from 1 species
GACAGAGGGUGCAAACGUUGUUCGGAAUUACUGGGCGUAAAGCGCGUGUAGGCGGCCCUGCAAGUCGGAUGUGAAAUCCCACGGCUCAACCGUGGAAGUGCACUCGAAACUGCAGAGCUAGAGUCCUGGAGAGGAAGGUGGAAUGCUUGGUGUAGAGGUGAAAUUCGUAGAUAUCAAGCGGAACACCGGUGGCGAAGGCGGCCUUCUGGACAGUGACUGACGCUGAGACGCGAAAGCGUGGGGAGCAAACAGG